GCAGGCCUAACACAUGCAAGUCGAGCGGUAGCACAGAGAGCUUGCUCUCGGGUGACGAGCGGCGGACGGGUGAGUAAUGUCUGGGAAACUGCCUGAUGGAGGGGGAUAACUACUGGAAACGGUAGCUAAUACCGCAUAACGUCGCAAGACCAAAGUGGGGGACCUUCGGGCCUCAUGCCAUCAGAUGUGCCCAGAUGGGAUUAGCUAGUAGGUGGGGUAACGGCUCACCUAGGCGACGAUCCCUAGCUGGUCUGAGAGGAUGACCAGCCACACUGGAACUGAGACACGGUCCAGACUCCUACGGGAGGCAGCAGUGGGGAAUAUUGCACAAUGGGCGCAAGCCUGAUGCAGCCAUGCCGCGUGUGUGAAGAAGGCCUUCGGGUUGUAAAGCACUUUCAGCGGGGAGGAAGGCGUUAAGGUUAAUAACCUUGGCGAUUGACGUUACCCGCAGAAGAAGCACCGGCUAACUCUGUGCCAGCAGCCGCGGUAAUACGGAGGGUGCAAGCGUUAAUCGGAAUUACUGGGCGUAAAGCGCACGCAGGCGGUCUGUCAAGUCGGAUGUGAAAUCCCCGGGCUCAACCUGGGAACUGCAUUCGAAACUGGCAGGCUAGAGUCUUGUAGAGGGGGGGUAGAAUUCCAGGUGUAGCGGUGAAAUGCGUAGAGAUCUGGAGGAAUACCGGUGGCGAAGGCGGCCCCCUGGACAAAGACUGACGCUCAGGUGCGAAAGCGUGGGGAGCAAACAGGAUUAGAUACCCUGGUAGUCCACGCCGUAAACGAUGUCGAUUUGGAGGUUGUGCCCUUGAGGCGUGGCUUCCGGAGCUAACGCGUUAAAUCGACCGCCUGGGGAGUACGGCCGCAAGGUUAAAACUCAAAUGAAUUGACGGGGGCCCGCACAAGCGGUGGAGCAUGUGGUUUAAUUCGAUGCAACGCGAAGAACCUUACCUGGUCUUGACAUCCAGAGAAUUUGCUAGAGAUAGCUUAGUGCCUUCGGGAACUCUGAGACAGGUGCUGCAUGGCUGUCGUCAGCUCGUGUUGUGAAAUGUUGGGUUAAGUCCCGCAACGAGCGCAACCCUUAUCCUUUGUUGCCAGCACGUAAUGGUGGGAACUCAAAGGAGACUGCCGGUGAUAAACCGGAGGAAGGUGGGGAUGACGUCAAGUCAUCAUGGCCCUUACGAGUAGGGCUACACACGUGCUACAAUGGCAUAUACAAAGAGAAGCGAACUCGCGAGAGCAAGCGGACCUCAUAAAGUAUGUCGUAGUCCGGAUUGGAGUCUGCAACUCGACUCCAUGAAGUCGGAAUCGCUAGUAAUCGUAGAUCAGAAUGCUACGGUGAAUACGUUCCCGGGCCUUGUACACACCGCCCGUCACACCAUGGGAGUGGGUUGCAAAAGAAGUAGGUAGCCUAACCUUCGGGAGGGCGCUUACCACUUUGUGAUUCAUGACUGGGGUGAAGUCAUAA
rnacentral:rRNA from 1 species